rnacentral:rRNA from 1 species
GCUUAGAGUUUGAUCCUGGCUCAGGAUGAACGCUGGCGGCGUGCUUAACACAUGCAAGUCGAACGGUCUCUUCGGAGAUAGUGGCGGACGGGUGAGUAACGCGUGAGAAUCUGCCUUUAGGUUCGGGACAACAGUUGGAAACGACUGCUAAUACCGAAUGUGUCGCAAGAUGAAAGAUUUAUUGCCUAAAGAUGAGCUCGCGUCUGAUUAGCUAGUUGGUGGGGUAAAAGCGUACCAAGGCGACGAUCAGUAGCUGGUCUGAGAGGAUGAUCAGCCACACUGGGACUGAGACACGGCCCAGACUCCUACGGGAGGCAGCAGUGGGGAAUUUUCCGCAAUGGGCGAAAGCCUGACGGAGCAACGCCGCGUGAGGGAGGAAGGCUUUUGGGUUGUAAACCUCUUUUAUCAAGGAAGAUAAUGACGGUGCUUGAUGAAUCAGCAUCGGCUAACUCCGUGCCAGCAGCCGCGGUAAUACGGAGGAUGCAAGCGUUAUCCGGAAUAAUUGGGCGUAAAGCGUUCGUAGGUGGUUUUGCAAGUCUGCUGUUAAAGCGUGUAGCUUAACUACAUAAUGGCGGUGGAAACUGCAAAACUAGAGUGCGUUCGGAGCAGAGGGAAUUCCUGGUGUAGCGGUGAAAUGCGUAGAUAUCAGGAAGAACACCGGUGGCGAAAGCGCUCUGCU